CACCGUCUGGGGGAACCCGGAGCGCUACUUCACCUCCUACUGGGAGAAGUACGCCGCGCAGGGCUGGUUCCUGGCCGGUGACGGCGCCC
rnacentral:tRNA from 1 species